rnacentral:rRNA from 1 species
GACGAACGCUGGCGGCGUGCCUAAUACAUGCAAGUAGAACGCACAGGAUGCACCGUAGUUUACUACACCGUAUUCUGUGAGUUGCGAACGGGUGAGUAACGCGUAGGUAACCUGCCUGGUAGCGGGGGAUAACUAUUGGAAACGAUAGCUAAUACCGCAUAAGAACAUUUACUGCAUGGUAGAUGUUUAAAAGGUGCAAAUGCAUCACUACCAGAUGGACCUGCGUUGUAUUAGCUAGUAGGUGAGGUAACGGCUCACCUAGGCGACGAUACAUAGCCGACCUGAGAGGGUGAUCGGCCACACUGGGACUGAGACACGGCCCAGACUCCUACGGGAGGCAGCAGUAGGGAAUCUUCGGCAAUGGGGGGAACCCUGACCGAGCAACGCCGCGUGAGUGAAGAAGGUUUUCGGAUCGUAAAGCUCUGUUGUUAAGGAAGAACGAGUGUGAGAAUGGAAAGUUCAUACU